CAGAAAGUAGUUUAGUUUAGAAUACUAGCUUUGGGAGUUAGUGGUGGGGGUUAAAUUCCUCCCUUUUUGA
rnacentral:tRNA from 1 species